GCGGGGUGUGACAAUAUUAUUGAUUCACUUUUUUAAAAUAAGGGCGUUAAAGUUGGUUUGAGUUAAAGAGAUUCCUGCUUGGCACGGAAGGCUAGGGUUGACAGAAAAUCCUUCGGCGCGUGGGGAGUGCGGCGAGUCUGCAGAAAGGAAACAUCGAUGCUCCCGACUGAGCACCAAACAGUUUGCGAUGGAAAUUCGAAGGAUGGAAAUUUCAUAUGAAUAACGUAAAAAUAAAAUGACAAAAAAAACAUAUGUGAGCAGUUGCGGAAUUUCCCGUUUCCACACGAAGUACACGAACAGAACUCUCCGACCGCUGAGAAAGAUCCGGCAACACCGCAACACUCGAACAAUCGGGACGGUAGCCAUAGAAACGCUCGUUCCGUAUAUAUAUACAACAAAAGGGCGACCGAGCUCCGGUCUUCGUUGCAGAGUAGACCAUCAGAGUAGCCGCGACGCCUACGCGGAGGGACUCGCGGCGCCCCCCCCCCCCAAAGCCGGCCGAAGGUUAGCUCCGCCGAACGCGCGACGAAUGAAGGGACCGCAUGGCAAAAACGCGGCCCCGAUCGACCGACGGGGAGGGCGCAGAAACGAAUUUCCCAGAAACGUUCGAAGGGCACCAGCGCCUCCCCGGAUCGCCGGAUCACGAUACCCGACCUUAUCGGACGUCGGCACCGUAGGACCCGUCCGCCGACGGAACCACGAGCCCGCGGGACGAACGGGGAGGUACGAAGUGACCGUUACAAGGAAUCGACAGACGAAACGGUCCGAGGGGCACCACGCCCACCCCGGGAGUUCGGGGUCGAAAAUUCAGCGGGGACGGGACGCCGGCCGGCCGGGGGCACCCGCUGACCGAAACUCCGGGGCGCGGGCCGAACGUGACGGGAGCGGUGGCGGUUUUUCCGAAAACGGUCGCGGGGCACCAGCGCCCCUCCCGGGUCGCCGGAUCCGAAAUCCGACCUUAUCGGACGUCGGCACAGUAGGACCCGUCCGCAGACGGAACCCCGAGCCCGGGGGACGAACGGGGAGGUACGAAGUGACCGUUACAAGGAAUCGGCCGACGGAACGGUCCGAGGGGCACCGCGCCCCCCCGAUUCGCAAAAAAACGAAACGGCCGGAGGGACAAGGAGCCGAUAGCAGGGACGCGACCGCACGUCGAAGCGCGACCGGAAAGACGCGCGCCAGGCCGAGGGAAGGGCGAAAAACGGAACCACCCCCGGGGCCCGUAGCAACCCCCCUAGGGGUGGGAACGGGAAAACCCGCGGGGGGAACGGAGACCCGGCCGCGAGGGGUCCGCCGAACGAACAUCAAGGGCGCGGGACGCGCUGGGACGGCGUGGCGGGGACAGAUGUUCAGAGGGUCGCGGGGUAAAUCGUAUAACUUUAUAUAAGAGAUAAAUACUGUGGUGACUUGGUAAGCGGGAAGUUCCCACUGUCAAGUGAAAUUUGAAAGUUGUAACAAGAGAUCUAUUACAUUUCAUUCGAAGUCUAA
rnacentral:lncRNA from 1 species